UGGGGAAUAUUGCACAAUGGGCGCAAGCCUGAUGCAGCCAUGCCGCGUGUGUGAAGAAGGCCUUCGGGUUGUAAAGCACUUUCAGCGGGGAGGAAGGCGGUGAGGUUAAUAACCUCAUCGAUUGACGUUACCCGCAGAAGAAGCACCGGCUAACUCCGUGCCAGCAGCCGCGGUAAUACGGAGGGUGCAAGCGUUAAUCGGAAUUACUGGGCGUAAAGCGCACGCAGGCGGUCUGUCAAGUCGGAUGUGAAAUCCCCGGGCUCAACCUGGGAACUGCAUUCGAAACUGGCAGGCUAGAGUCUUGUAGAGGGGGGUAGAAUUCCAGGUGUAGCGGUGAAAUGCGUAGAGAUCUGGAGGAAUACCGGUGGCGAAGGCGGCCCCCUGGACAAAGACUGACGCUCAGGUGCGAAAGCGUGGGGAGCAAACAGGAUUAGAUACCUUGGUAGUCCACGCCGUAAACGAUGUCGAUUUGGAGGUUGUGCCCUUGAGGCGUGGCUUCCGGAGCUAACGCGUUAAAUCGACCGCCUGGGGAGUACGGCCGCAAGGUUA
rnacentral:rRNA from 1 species